GCGCGAUUAGCUCAGUGGAUAGAGCGUUGGCCUCCGGAGCCAAAGGUCGCAGGUUCGAAUCCUGCAUCGCGUACCA
rnacentral:tRNA from 1 species